AGGAAUGGAAUGAUAAAGAGGGAUGAAGAGAAAGGAUACAAGACUGCCCCAGAAAGCAACGGCAUCUGUCCUAUGCCACUCAGCGAGUUAUUAAGUAGGAACUUCAACUGAACCUAGAACUUUUUCACACCUCGAUUAGAAAGGAAACAAAACAAAACAAAAACCCA